rnacentral:rRNA from 1 species
AUUGAACGCUGGCGGCAGGCCUAACACAUGCAAGUCGAGCGGAUGAAGGGAGCUUGCUCCUGGAUUCAGCGGCGGACGGGUGAGUAAUGCCUAGGAAUCUGCCUGGUAGUGGGGGAUAACGUCCGGGAACGGGCGCUAAUACCGCAUACGUCCUGAGGGAGAAAGUGGGGGAUCUUCGGACCUUACGCUAUCAGAUGAGCCUAGGUCGGUUUGGCUAGUUGGUGGGGUAAAGGCGUAACAAGGCGACGACCCGUAAAUGGUGUGAGAGGGUGAUGAGUCACACUGGAACUGAGACACGGUCCAGACUCCUACGGGAGGCAGCAAUGGGGAAGAUUGGACAAUGGGCGAAAGCCUGAUCCAGCCAUGCCGCGUGUGUGAAGAAGGUCUUCGGAUGGUAAAGCACUUUAAGUUGUGAGGAAGGGCAGUAAGUUAAUACCUUGCUGUUUUGACGUUACCAACAGAAUAAGCACCGGCUAACUUCGUG